UUACUUGCCCUCCAAGGGUGGUAACCUUCUUUUAAACUUACCACAGAGAUAAAUGACAGAACA
rnacentral:ribozyme from 1 species